rnacentral:rRNA from 1 species
GACGAACGCUGGCGGCGUGCUUAACACAUGCAAGUCGAACGGAAAGGCCCUGCUUUUGUGGGGUGCUCGAGUGGCGAACGGGUGAGUAACACGUGAGUAACCUGCCCUUGACUUUGGGAUAACUUCAGGAAACUGGGGCUAAUACCGGAUAGGAGCUCCUGCUGCAUGGUGGGGGUUGGAAAGUUUCGGCGGUUGGGGAUGGACUCGCGGCUUAUCAGCUUGUUGGUGGGGUAGUGGCUUACCAAGGCUUUGACGGGUAGCCGGCCUGAGAGGGUGACCGGCCACAUUGGGACUGAGAUACGGUCCAGACUCCUACGGGAGGCAGCAGUGGGGAAUAUUGCACAAUGGGCGGAAGCCUGAUGCAGCAACGCCGCGUGCGGGAUGACGGCCUUCGGGUUGUAAACCGCUUUCGCUUGUGACGAAGCGUGAGUGACGGUAAUGGGUAAAGAAGCACCGGCUAACUACGUG